rnacentral:misc_RNA from 1 species
GUUCCGUAGGUGAACCUGCGGAAGGAUCAUUAUUGUAUAACCGAGGUGCGUGGGCUGUCGCUGACCCGAAAGGUCGUGCACGCCCGAGUGCCCUCACACACAUCCAUCUCACCCCUAUGUGCACCACCGCGUGGGUCCCCCUUUGGCUUGUUCGGAGGGGGGCUUACGUUUUCACACAAACUUUGUAUGCAGUGUAGAAUGUAUUUUUUGUUUUUGCGAUCACGCAAUCAAUACAACUUUCAACAACGGAUCUCUUGGCUCUC